ACGCUCGACACCUACAGGAGGCAGCAGUGGGGAAUAUUGCACAAUGGGGGAAACCCUGAUGCAGCAACGCCGCGUGAAGGAAGACGGUUUUCGGAUUGUAAACUUCUGUUCUUAGUGAAGAUAGUGACGGUAGCUAAGGAGCAAGCCACGGCUAACUACGUGCAGCAGCCGCGGUAAUCUGAGCGGGCUGGCAAGGC
rnacentral:rRNA from 1 species